GGGGCCGUAGCGCAGGGGUCGUCGCGCCCCUUUCUCAAAGGGGAGGACGCCGGUUCGAAUCCGGCCGGCCUCGCC
rnacentral:tRNA from 1 species